AAUAAUCCUCGGUAGGUGAGGCUACUACAAGGAUAUGGGUUGCUGCCGUAAAAGGAUGGAAACAUUCUGCAUUGGUCAACAGAUUCUGCCGAACAAAGAAGGUUUAAUCUAAUGCAACUUCACCGCCUAGUAGAGCUAAAACUUGAACGAGAAAGUAUUGUU
rfam:Clostridium intestinale TRNW genomic scaffold scaffold1, whole genome shotgun sequence.